UUGAACCAUACGGAUCUUUCAAAUUUCAAUUGGUUUUUGAAGGAAGCCCAGAAAGCUACAACAACUUGAAGGCACCAAUCAAAGAACACAAGUUUGCAAUUGGGAGAGAGAGGUUCAGAGUUUCUGCCAUUGGUUGUUGAUCGAAGGUAGAAUCACAGACUGAUCGGUGUUUGGUGCUUUCGAAUUUGGAUUUUCCAGCUUGCGUUGGGUUGGGUUGCUUGCUUUUGGCCAGGAGCAAGAUAUCUCAGCAAGGGCUUUUUAUGAGCCGAUUCUGGUGACAGAAUUUGUUAAGAAACAUUUUUGGGUACAGAGAUUUGCUCAAGGCACUGUCGGAUCGUGAUUGUCUUGAG